GCGUCCCGGGAGCCCGGCCUCGUGCGCCGCGCUUUGAGGACUUCCUAAAGCCAGUCCAGGAGCACAGUUUUUACCUGUUCAGUGGCACAUAUCUGUGAUUGAAACUCUGUUUUUGCAUCUUUAACCACUGAAGGAAGAAUGCAGCAGACUGCUCGACAAACACUGCGCCAAGAGCUCCUCAGCAGAAGCUCCUCGCAUCAGAUCCUCUGUGCUGGGAAUCCUCCCCUCUUGAGCACACUCUGUGCUCCUCUUCCAGUUACGGUGCAUGUGAAGCAAUGGUAUGGGAAAAUUGUUUGCAGAAGGAUGAAAAGGCUUUAUUGCCAAACUAAACUGGACCAGGAAAGUCUCGUGAGGAGCUGAUCCCAUUGCAUCAAGCUCUAAUUACCUGAUGUAACAGGAAGCCGGGGGGGCGUCCAGUCUCUCAGCUUGUGGUUGAUACACAAGGCGAUAAGAUCAUCCCAUGGGAUCUCCAUGACCGAGGGGCCUGCCCCAUGGACUGGGGAGGGACUCUUGCUCUUCCACCUACAGUAGGUUCUGUGGAGCAGGUUCUCCACCUGGGACUGGAGGACAGGCUGUGUCUGGCGUGAGCUGGGGAUCUGGGAGGCGUACUGGACAACCAUGGAGCACACGGGGAGCCAGGGGGCUGGGGAGAAAGUGCCUCAUUAGUUACAGGUUUGGCCAAAAUACAGGUGAAAAUGUACAUGAAAACAUUUUCUCAGGAGAAGGCAACUGUGAAGUUGAGAAGUCUGCUUUCUAAACACAGCAGAACCACAGUUGUUGAGGGGGAAGAGCAGCUUGCUCCCAGGGUCUAGGUGAGGGAUGCAGACAGUCCCCCUUAACAGUGUUGCUAGCCAAGUUCUACCCAGAAGUUCUGACUGUACAGGCCUGUGGUUGUGCCUAGGAAAUCUGUAUUUUAACAAGCACCCAGAUGAGUCUGGUAUAAGCAGUCUUAGCUUAUUUUGGGGAACCCCAACCUAACCAGAGCACCGAGGGCUUGUGCUGAGUGGUUUGCUUCCCUUUGGGUUCCUUCAAUAAUGAGCAUGAGUUAGACCUACUACAGACCACACACCACAAUUUAGAAGGGCGCCUGAGGCCCAAAGGGGAGUGUCUGUGCUAAUGCCACAACUUCUGCCAGAUAAGCAGCUCAUUCCCUUCUGAGUGCAUAGGAAGGAGCAGCCCCAUGCCAUACUGGGCUUGAGCCAGCCAGAUGGCCUGUCGGAUCUGUGUCAAAACAGCCCAAAGACCUCAGCCAGGAACAGGGGCACAGCCAGAGCCAUAGAAGAAGGCCUCUUUGACAAAGAAAGAAUGUUAAAUCAGCACUGAGUGCCAUGGCUGCGGCUUGGGGACAGGGCUACAUGGUCCCCAUGCUCUUUGCCCCUUGUCUGUUCUGAAAACAGGGACCCUGUGGGCAGGCAGGACAGGAUCAGGGUUGGUGUUCCUCCCAGUACCACUUGUCACUUUUCUCCUGAAGCUGAGUGAACUCCCAUGGACUGCCUUGCUGGUCAGGAAAGGCUAACAGCCCCCACUCCACAAAACCCAGCUUGUUCUGGCUCAUGAACCCAAAGGACCAAAGGAAGGUGCAGGCGAGCACAGCAUGGAGACACACGGAGGUGGACGUGCAGCCCUCACACUGGUGCCCAACACCUGCCAGACGGUUACUACAGUGAGAAGGAAGCCUGAGACUUGGCUGCAGCCACCCACCAGACCUCCCCAGGUCAAGCACGUACCCCCCAGGGGUGGAAGGUCCAUCUGCGGAAGCUGGAACCCGAGCACAGCCUGCUUCAGCCAGGCCAGGUGCUCUGGGGCAUUCCAGUGCAGGUGAGGAAGCAGCCGGCUGCCCCCUGCCUCAGCAAACUCAGUGACAGGCCAGGACAGGUCACACAGCUGUUCAGAGGACACCACAGAAGCCAGGAACUGCAGCACACUGUUAAACAGCUCAAUGAUGGCGCCAGGCUCCUGAGAAGCAAGACCGCCCAGACGCCUCUCUCUUCUGUCAUGGAAAAAGCGGCCACUAAACUCAUGGCCAAUCCCGUCUUCGACGUACUGAAUGAGAGUCUGGCAGCAGAGGUCAAGGGAAUGGGGGCAGUGGGAAACCAGCCACUGCACUGCUUGCAAAACCUGAGAAGAAAGAAGAGACUUGGUUGAACAAUUCACACUGUUUUUCAAAAACAGCUUUCUGAAAGGGCUUGAUCCCCCAAGGUUGCCCACAGCAGGUAAUACCAGAGUACUGGGCUCUCAACUGUGGUAGGAAGGGGAACAGAAGUGUCCUAUGCAGUUGAGUUUAGCCUUCUAGGGCUCUGGAGACAUGUCCAGUAGGGGCACUAAAGAGAGCCCCCAGAUCCCACCUGGCCUGAGGAGGAGUGUGACCUGCAUGGUUGCCCCAUGGAAAGGCCCAGGCCCUCAGGAAACCAGCCCUGAACAUCCCCUUCACCAUGCACAGAAAUGGAGUCUUCUCCUUUUUGGAAGGACUAACAGCUUCACUAUGUGCCAAGGUGCCUUCACACCCUAUGGUUAUCUUACUUCCUAUAGUUAUUUUAAUUCCUGGCACCUCUUUCUCUAAAUUGUUAGCAAAGACUCCCCCUGCCCUAUUUUUUUUGUUUUUGAGAAGGGGGUCUUGCUAUGUUGGCCAGGCUGGUCUCAAACUCCUGAGCUCAAGCAGUCCUCCUGCUUCAGCCUCCGAGUAGCAGAGACUACAGGUGCGAGGAGCCACCACGCCCAGCUUCAGACUUCCUUUUUAAAGGAAACAUCAAAUAACAUUAUUUCUUCAUAUAUUCAGAGGACAAUUACCCUAGAAAAAUAACUUCUGUAUCUGACCUUCAGAUAUAAGACAUGUUCAUAUUUUAAAUUCAUAGAAACAAAAACACUAAAAAAUUUUACAUGAACAAUUUAAUUUGCAGAUAGCAGGACUGUGGGCAAAUUUUAUCUUUUAUUUUGAUUUCUGCUUAUGUUUUUAGAAAGUUAUCUGUAUAAAACAUACAACUGCUGCCAGGCGCAGUGGCACACCACAGUAGUCCCAUAUACUUGGGAGACUGAAGUGGGAAGAUUGCAUGAGCCCUGUAGUUUGAGGUUGCAGGGAGCUAUCAUCAUGCCACUAUACUGGGUGACAAUAAAACCCUGUCUCUUAAGAAAAAGACAAUGCAAACGCUAAUAUACACUCAAUUCAAGAUACAGCAAAAGGGGAAAAAACAAAAUAUCUUGACAGACCAUUAAAAA
ensembl:lncRNA MCM3AP-AS1 MCM3AP antisense RNA 1